UCACUCUGGAGAAGCUCAGGAACUGGGUGCCGAAGGGGCAAAACGAUACACAUGCGUGUCGCCAAUCUCUCAGGCAAAAGGACAGAGGAUGA
rnacentral:ncRNA from 1 species